AGUGAACGCUGGCGGUAGGCUUAACACAUGCAAGUCGAACGGCAGCACAGUAAGAGCUUGCUCUUACGGGUGGCGAGUGGCGGACGGGUGAGGAAUACAUCGGAAUCUACUUUUUCGUGGGGGAUAACGUAGGGAAACUUACGCUAAUACCGCAUACGACCUACGGGUGAAAGCAGGGGAUCUUCGGACCUUGCGCGAUUGAAUGAGCCGAUGUCGGAUUAGCUAGUUGGCGGGGUAAAGGCCCACCAAGGCGACGAUCCGUAGCUGGUCUGAGAGGAUGAUCAGCCACACUGGAAGUGAGACACGGGCCAGACUCCUACGGGAGGCAGCAGUGGGGAAUAUUGGACAAUGGGCGCAAGCCUGAUCCAGCCAUACCGCGUGGGUGAAGAAGGCCUUCGGGUUGUAAAGCCCUUUUGUUGGGAAAGAAAAGCAGCAGGUUAAUACCCCGCUGUUCUGACGGUACCCAAAGAAUAAGCACCGGCUAACUUCGUG
rnacentral:rRNA from 1 species